UUUCUGUGUCUUGCAGUCCCCAACCGAAUAUGAGGAGUCAUCAGAUGACGAGCUGCCUUCCAGGAACUGGAGCAAGGCACAAAGGCAAAUAAAGCCGAGAAUAAAAGGCUGAAAGAAGACAACUUUAAACACCCAAUAGAAGCAAUGAAAUAGCUUCCAGCAGUCGGGCAGAACUUACGAGACAUAGCUGAGCUAUUGUCAUCGAUCUCAAGCAGUGCAUCAGCCGGAUCAACACUCGUGCAAACACCUGUACGAACACCAGCGCGAUCAGAACUGCAACUUUCUGCACCCGCGUCUCCUCAGGUGGACUCUGCUGACUUGGGCAUAUUGUGAUCUGUGGGGGAAACCGGAGUACCCGGAGGGAACCCACGCAUGCAUGGGGAGAACACGCAACUCCACUCAGAAAGGCCGCAGCCGAGUUUUGAACCUGCAACCUUCAUGCAGCAAGGCAACAGUGCUAACCACUGCGCCACCAUGCAGAGAGUGUGAAGUGUUUGGUUUUGAAAAAGUGUCUCUUGUGCCAGGCGAGUCAAAGUCCCCAGACAGGAGCUCAACUCUCUGCGGACUUCAAAUCACUCAGUUUACAUUGGAGACCUGGCAGUGCUCGUCAACGGCAG